rnacentral:rRNA from 1 species
GACGAACGCUGGCGGCGUGCUUAACACAUGCAAGUCGAACGGAAAGGCCCUGCUUUUGUGGGGUGCUCGAGUGGCGAACGGGUGAGUAACACGUGAGUAACCUGCCCUUGACCUUGGGAUAACUUCAGGAAACUGGGGCUAAUACCGGAUAGGAGCUCCUGCUGCAUGGCGGGGGUUGGAAAGUUUCGGCGGUUGGGGAUGGACUCGCGGCUUAUCAGCUUGUUGGUGGGGUAGUGGCUUACCAAGGCUUUGACGGGUAGCCGGCCUGAGAGGGUGACCGGCCACAUUGGGACUGAGAUACGGCCCAGACUCCUACGGGAGGCAGCAGUGGGGAAUAUUGCACAAUGGGCGGAAGCCUGAUGCAGCAACGCCGCGUGCGGGAUGACGGCCUUCGGGUUGUAAACCGCUUUCGCCUGUGACGAAGCGUGAGUGACGGUAAUGGGUAAAGAAGCACCGGCUAACUACGUG